GAUGAAGAACGUAGCUAAAUGCGAUAAGUAAUGUGAAUUGCAGAAUUCAGUGAAUCAUCGAAUCUUUGAACGCACAUUGCGCCCCCUGGUAUUCCGGGGGGCAUGCCUGUUCGAGCGUCAUUUCACCACUCAAGCCUCGCUUGGUAUUGGGCAUCGCGGUCCGCCGCGCGCCUCAAAUCGACCGGCUGGGUCUUCUGUCCCCUAAGCGUUGUGGAAACUAUUCGCUAAAGGGUGUUCGGGAGGCUACGCCGUAAAACAACCCCAUUUCUAAGGUUGACCUCGGAUCAGGUAGGGAUACCCGCUGAACUUAAGCAUAUCAAUAAGCGGAGGA
rnacentral:misc_RNA from 1 species